GAUGAACGCUGGCGGCGUGCCUAAUACAUGCAAGUCGAGCGAACAGACGAGGAGCUUGCUCCUCUGACGUUAGCGGCGGACGGGUGAGUAACACGUGGAUAACCUACCUAUAAGACUGGGAUAACUUCGGGAAACCGGAUCUAAUACCGGAUAAUAUAUUGAACCGCAUGGUUCAAUAGUGAAAGACGGUUUUGCUGUCACUUAUAGAUGGAUCCGCGCCGCAUUAGCUAGUUGGUAAGGUAACGGCUUACCAAGGCAACGAUGCGUAGCCGACCUGAGAGGAUGAUCGGCCACACUGGAACUGAGACACGGUCCAGACUCCUACGGGAGGCAGCAGUAGGGAAUCUUCCGCAAUGGGCGAAAGCCUGACGGAGCAACGCCGCGUGAGUGAUGAAGGUCUUCGGAUCGUAAAACUCUGUUAUUAGGGAAGAACAAAUGUGUAAGUAACUAUGCACGUCUUGACGGUACCUAAUCAGAAAGCCACGGCUAACUACGUG
rnacentral:rRNA from 1 species